UAAAUUUUAGACAUUCUCAUCAGCAAAAAAAGCUGAAAUUGUAGCCAGACAUUUUGGUUGUGUUUCUUCUAUUCUGAUUCUGUGCUCAUUAAAAUACAUGUUGCAGAUCAUAGACAUUAGCCAGAAAUGUCUCUAUAAAACAUUGAGAGCUGGCCAUCAGGUAAGAGCAAUCCAUACUCAAAUGGUGAGAUGAAUUUUUUGCGUGAUCAGUAGAUUGAAUUCGUCUGAACACAGGACAAGAGCUAUUAUCAUGAUCAAUUUCUGUUUUUGUUUAUAUUUUACACUAUAACCAAUUACUUUCAUAUAAAGUAAGUUUGAGUACGUAGUUUGUAUAUAUUUCAGUUUUUGUUCAUUUUUAAUUUAUGUUUAUACUUUAUUCUAACUAAUUGUGACAAUAUAUAAAUUAGUAAAAAUUAAUUAUUGCAAGGAAAAAAAUAUUUUUUUUA